CAGGCCUAACACAUGCAAGUCGAGGGGUAACAGGAAAGCUUGCUUUUGCUGACGACCGGCGCACGGGUGCGUAACGCGUAUGCAACCUACCUCGUACAGGAGAAUAGCCCUUGGAAACGAGGAUUAAUACUCCAUGGUAUCAUUCUUUCGCAUGUUAGAAUGAUUAAAGAAUUUCGGUAUGAGAUGGGCAUGCGUCCCAUUAGCUUGUUGGUGAGGUAACGGCUCACCAAGGCAACGAUGGGUAGGGGGCCUGAGAGGGUGGUCCCCCACACUGGUACUGAGACACGGACCAGACUCCUACGGGAGGCAGCAGUGAGGAAUAUUGGUCAAUGGAGGAAACUCUGAACCAGCCAUGCCGCGUGAAGGAUGACGGCCCUAUGGGUUGUAAACUUCUUUUAUAUGGGAAGAAACUUAUCUACGUGUAGAUAACUGACGGUACCAUACGAAUAAGGAUCGGCUGACUCCGUGCCAGCAGCCGCGGUAAUACGGAGGAUCCAAGCGUUAUCCGGAUUCAUUGGGUUUAAAGGGUCCGUAGGCGGAUUUUUAAGUCAGUGGUGAAAGCCGACAGCUCAACUGUCGAACUGCCAUUGAUACUGGAAAUCUUGAGUACAAAUGAAGUAGGCGGAAUGAGUCAUGUAGCGGUGAAAUG
rnacentral:rRNA from 1 species